rnacentral:rRNA from 1 species
CCUACGGGGGGCUGCAGUGGGGAAUAUUGCACAAUGGGCGCAAGCCUGAUGCAGCCAUGCCGCGUGUGUGAAGAAGGCCUUCGGGUUGUAAAGCACUUUCAGCGGGGAGGAAGGCGUUAAGGUUAAUAACCUUGGCGAUUGACGUUACCCGCAGAAGAAGCACCGGCUAACUCCGUGCCAGCAGCCGCGGUAAUACGGAGGGUGCAAGCGUUAAUCGGAAUUACUGGGCGUAAAGCGCACGCAGGCGGUCUGUCAAGUCGGAUGUGAAAUCCCCGGGCUCAACCUGGGAACUGCAUUCGAAACUGGGAGGGUUGAGGGUUGGAGGGGGGGGUAGAAUUCCAGGUGUAGCGGUGAAAUGCGUAGAGAUCUGGAGGAAUACCGGUGGCGAAGGCGGCCCCCUGGACAAAGACUGACGCUCAGGUGCGAAAGCGUGGGGAGCAAACAGGAUUAGAUACCCCGGUAGUC